rnacentral:rRNA from 1 species
CCCUAUGGGGCGCAGCAGUCGGUUCCACGGUGGGUGCUUCGGUGGCCGGAACCAUCGUGGGUGCUUCGGUCGGUGUUGCUGCCGGGGCACAUCCGGUCAGCAAUGCCGGGGCAACCAGCAUUACUGCAACAACUAUAAAUAUUACUUUCUUCAUGCUUCGCAUACAAUCCUCCUUAUCAGAUUGAUUGGAUUAGCUUACCAAUUUAAUAUAUACCAAUGAAUUUUUAAAAGAAAGUUAAAUGCUGCGUUUGCCCAGUUGAUUGGAAAUAUUUAAGAAAAAAGAGCGAAUGAUAUAAUCUUAAUAGGAUGGAAAACGCCAAUAAAUCCCGUUUUCAAAUCGUCGACAAGAUCAAAUCUCUACUGAUCAGGGAAAAACAAUACCUCUCUGAAAACCGCAGUGAUGCGAAAGACCUGGCCUUGCUGGAUGAUUUGCUUUUACAGGUCGAUGACCUUUUUCUAUUGGUCGUGGCGGGGGGGC